CGGUUGAUCCUGCCGGACCCCACUGCUAUCGGGAUAGGACUAAGACAUGCUAGUCGAGUGCUCUUCAAGCCAUGUUGAAGGCACGGCGCACAGCUCAGUAACACGUGGCUAACCUGCCCUUGGGAUAGGAAUAACCCCGGGAAACUGGGGCUAAUUCCUAAUAGGUGAAGACCUCUGGAAUGAGUCUUCGCUAGAAAGGGCGCUUACGCCAUGCUUGUAGGCGCCGCCCAAGGAUGGGGCCGCGUCCGAUCAGGUUGUUGGUGAGGUAACGGCUCACCAAGCCUUUUACCGGUACGGGCCGUGAGAGCGGGAGCCCGGAGAUGGGCACUGAGACAAGGGCCCAGGCCCUACGGGGCGCAGCAGUCGCGCAAACUUUGCAAUACACGGAAGUGUGACAGGGCUAUCCCGAGUGCCGCCCGCUGAGGGUGGCUUUUGCCCAGUCUAGCAAGCUGGGAGAAUAAGGAGAGGGCAAGUCUGGUGUCAGCCGCCGCGGUAAUACCAGCUCUCCGAGUGGUGUGGAUGUUUAUUGGGCCUAAAGCAUCCGUAGCUGGCUGUGCCAGUCCCCUGUUAAAUCCAAUGAAUUAAUUGUUGGGGUGCGGGGGAUACUGCUCGGCUAGGGGGCGGGAGAGGCAGACGGUAUUUUCGGGGUAGGGGUGAAAUCCUAUAAUCCCGGGAAGACCACCAGUGGCGAAGGCUGUCUGCUAGAACGCGCCCGACGGUGAGGGAUGAAAGCUGGGGGAGCGAACCGGAUUAGAUACCCGGGUAGUCCCAGCUGUAAACUAUGCAGGCUAGGUGUUUGGGCGGCCACGUGCCGCUCUAGUGCCGCAGGGAAGCUGUUAAGCCUGCCGCCUGGGGAGUACGGUCGCAAGAUUGAAACUUAAAGGAAUUGGCGGGGGAGCAC
rnacentral:rRNA from 1 species